AUUGAACGCUGGCGGCAGGCCUAACACAUGCAAGUCGAGCGGAUGAAGGGAGCUUGCUCCUGGAUUCAGCGGCGGACGGGUGAGUAAUGCCUAGGAAUCUGCCUGGUAGUGGGGGAUAACGUCCGGAAACGGGCGCUAAUACCGCAUACGUCCUGAGGGAGAAAGUGGGGGAUCUUCGGACCUCACGCUAUCAGAUGAGCCUAGGUCGGAUUAGCUAGUUGGUGGGGUAAAGGCCUACCAAGGCGACGAUCCGUAACUGGUCUGAGAGGAUGAUCAGUCACACUGGAACUGAGACACGGUCCAGACUCCUACGGGAGGCAGCAGUGGGGAAUAUUGGACAAUGGGCGAAAGCCUGAUCCAGCCAUGCCGCGUGUGUGAAGAAGGUCUUCGGAUUGUAAAGCACUUUAAGUUGGGAGGAAGGGCAGUAAGUUAAUACCUGGCUGUUUUGACGUUACCAACAGAAUAAGCACCGGCUACUUCGUG
rnacentral:rRNA from 1 species